AUUGAACGCUGGCGGCAGGCUUAACACAUGCAAGUCGAGCGGAGUGAUGGUGCUUGCACUAUCACUUAGCGGCGGACGGGUGAGUAAUGCUUAGGAAUCUGCCUAUUAGUGGGGGACAACCUCUCGAAAGGGAUGCUAAUACCGCAUACGUCCUACGGGAGAAAGCAGGGGAUCACUUGUGACCUUGCGCUAAUAGAUGAGCCUAAGUCGGAUUAGCUAGUUGGUGGGGUAAAGGCCUACCAAGGCGACGAUCUGUAGCGGGUCGGAGAGGAUGAUCCGCCAACCUGGGACGGAGACACGGCCCGGACUCCUACGGGAGGCAGCAGUGGGGAAUAUUGGACAAUGGGGGGAACCCUGAUCCAGCCAUGCCGCGUGUGUGAAGAAGGCCUUAUGGUUGUAAAGCACUUUAAGCGAGGAGGAGGCUCUUUUGGUUAAUACCCAAGAUGAGUGGACGUUACUCGCAGAAUAAGCACCGGCUAACUCUGUGCCAGCCGCCGCCGUAAAAC
rnacentral:rRNA from 1 species